GGAAUUUUCAGCAAAUAUUUUAUAUGUGCCUCGGUGCAAACAAUAAUAAUAGAUUAAAUAUUAAUCUGCUUCAUUAGAGAGCUUCAAGACAUUACAUUUUCUUUUCUUCAAACACUCUGCUAAUCUAGGAUCACUGAAAUCACAAAUCAUGUCGUUGUAAGAGACUAAUUAGCUAAUUGUAUAGGUGAGGCAUUGAGGUGCAAAGAAAUUUAAUUAUUUCAGUGAAAUUUCACAGUGAGAGGGAGGCAGAACCAAAACUCUUGUAUAAUAAAAAUACUGUAACGUAAUAGCAUAAUCUUUUUUUCGUUAUUUUUUUUUAGUGCUUAUUCAUUUUUAAGAGACACAGGGAGGGGGAGAGAGCGUGCAAGCAAGCUUAAAUGGGGGAGGGGCAGAGAGAGAGGGAGACAGAGAAUCUGAAGCAGGCUCCAGGCUCCAAGCUGUCAGCACAGAGCCCAAUGAGGGGUUCGAACUCACGAACUGUGAGAUCACGACCUGAGCAGAAGUCGGACACUCAACCGACUGAGCCACCCAGGCACCUCUGAAUAGCAUAUUCUUAAAUUUUUUAAAUAAAAUGUUUAGGGUUAGCAGGAGCACACCAACAGGGGGCAGCAGAGACCUCUUCUGCCUGCCGGUAUUUUAUUCCCAGUUUAGGAAUGUAGCUUUUUCUGACAAGGUUUCAAACGUGACAAAGCCUACCAAGGAGGCAGAUUUGUUAUGAUUUCUUGUUGUCUACUAGUGGUGGAUGGCAAAGUGGUAUCUCUGGGGCCUUCUCUUCAUAUUUUAUUGUAAUUAAAUAUGUGCAUCCUAUGUUGCUGGAAUCUUGCUGUCCCACCCAUCAGAGCCCAAUGGAUGACAGGGCCUCUGUUCCUAGGUUAUUACUGAGUUGUGCAGCUGUCUUUUCAGGAAGCUGGCAUUUAAAUCACCAGCACUCAAAUCUGGAUUUUCCACUGAGAAUCCUUUCUAAUAGUCAAUAAAUUAGCCAAAGUAGAGCAAUGAAAGUAGGAAACUGCCAGGAAUUCUCAUUUGCAUUUCCAAGCAAACACCAGCAACCAUAGUCAGGUUGGCUCCAUGGCUUCAAGGUUGGAAAUGGGGAGCAGUUGGGAGGGGAAGAUGAAAGACAAAAUCUGAGUGCUAGUACGAAAGACUAGGCUGAACCAGUUCCCUUCCCUUCCUAUAAGGUGCACUGGAGUCAGUGCAGGCUCCCUCUUCAGGCUCUUUUCCAUGCUUCUGCCCCUUUCCUCCUAUAGUCCUCUCUGCCCUCCCCUGGGUCUCUCAUUUGAGACCUUCCUGUACUUCCCAGAAAAAACUUUGUUUCCACAAAUAAAGGGCCAGUGCCUAUUCAGGCACUUGUCUUCAGCUCCCACUAAAGAAGUCAGUCCUACACCCAGUUCAGCUAUGGAAAUAGGUUUCGUCAACGUUAACCUGCACUUAUCCAGCAACACAGAUUAGUUUUCAGAGACAUCUUUUCCUUUAUGUCCCCUGGAGUCUGAAUUCAACCUGCCAGCUUCAAAGUCACUUUUUAAAAGUCUUGGGGAGGUAGGCCCUUCAUUGGGUAUAGGGGCAGGGAAAGCAUGGGCUGAGAAAUUAAUAUAGAAUGUGCAUGUACACAUAUACACAUAUAUAUUUGCACUUUCUUAAUAUAAAAGUAAAAUGUGUCCUUUAAUAGAUUGACAUACAUAAAAACAAUAUACAGGAGAAAAUUUAAAUCUGAAACUUAACCACCCAUAUACAGCCAUUGUCAAACUAUCUUUAAAAUACUAAAAAUUUGAUUCUCAUACAAAUCUAAAGCACGUGUCAAAGACUUCUCUAACUCAUUAAUGAGGGAAGCAGCAGGGUGAUAAACUGAAUGGAAGUGAAUUUGAGAGGUUGAGGGUACAGACACUGAAAAAACAGUGACAGAAAAUUGCUGGUUUAGAUGAAGAACUGGUUGAUAUCUUACAGAGAAUAUAACUGUAAGCUUUGAGAGCAAAACUGAUUUGAUUUGCUGCUGGAAAAAAUCCUAUUAUCAUGUUACCUCACAGAGUCUAGGUUUUGCUAUUUCAAUAGUAAAUAAUAACUUAAAGGAAUGUCCUAAAAGGGAAUCAGAUAAUCAACGGGUGUGUCUGCUAGACUGUUAUACCAUAUGACGUGGAAAAGAUAUAUAGUCAUUUUUUUUUUGCCUUUUUUCCAAGUUUUGGGCAGUUUUACUUAAUACGCAAUUGUUAUUUUAAUAAAUUUCCUUCCAUUCUUAAGAUUUUUCGAGUGCAUAUAAAAAAAUAAAACACAUACUUAUGCAAAGUGAGGGUUAGCUUGUAUAUAUAAUCAUAUAUAUUUCUUCUUUCACUUAAUAAUGUAUCAAACAUUUUUCAUGUCACUAAAUAUUUUUCAAAAACAAAAUUUUGUAAUGAUUUUUUUCUUUGCUCAAAUUUAUGUGCCAUCAUUUCUUUAACACCCCAUUGUUGAGAACAUAUAAUAUUUUAGUGAAUAUUUUAGUACAUAAAUCUUUAUAUACAUUUCCAAUUGAUUCAUGGAGUUUCUUUCUACUUUUUAGGCCCUCAAUACUUGAGAAAUAGCCUUUAGAAAGAUUGUUUAAUUUACACUCUCAGCAACUGGAUAUGAUUACACUCAUUCCAUCACACCCUUACCAGCAUUGGGUAUUAUGUACUUCUAAACUUUGACAGUUUAGAGAAAAUGAUAUCUUAUUUUGAUUAGCAUUACUUUAUUAGUGCAGUUAUACCUUUUUUCAGAUGUUUAUUGGCCCUCUAUAGCUCUGUUAUAUUUUUAUGCCAAUGAAAUUUCAUAAAAAUGAUCACUAAAGAUAGGCUUAAAGAACAAGAAUACAACAAAGGGAAGCUGGAAGCCUGAGGGCAAUGUAGGGGAAAGGAUAUUGCAGCUGACCCCUGUGGCUGGAAGCAGGACUUACGGCUGUAUGUGUGCAUAUGACAUAUGGUCAUUUGCACGUGACCCUCAGAAGCCCAGGCUAAACCACACUGUAUACCCACUACCAGGGAAGGGAAGAUAGAGCAUUGGUCAGAUUUGUUUCCCAGAUCAAAGAGCCUGGGUCUCCCACUGGCAUCAGCUAAUCUGCUGUAGCUGGGCUGGUUGUAGGUCCAUGUAGGUUUACCGGAUGGCGGAAAAGAACCUGUUAUUUGGAGAACUGCCUGGUGCUCAUCCCCAGGAUCACUGAAAGACAUUGGCAAGGAGUAUUCACUGUGUAACUCUAGUUACACAGAAUCACAAAAUUUAAGAACUGACAUUUUUGUAAGAUCUUCUUUUUUUUUAAUGUUUAUUAUUUCUUUUUUGAGAGAGAGAGAGACAGAGCUACAGCUGCCAAAGAGCAGAGAGGGAGGGAGACACAGAAUCUGAAGCAGGCUCCAGGCUCCACCUUGUCAGCACAGAACCUGAUGCGGGGCUCGAACCCACAAACUGUGAGAUCAUGCAGGAAUCAAACCCACAAACCAUGAGAUCAUGACCUGAGCUGAAGUUGGAUGCUUAACCAACUGAGCCACCCAGGUGCCUUCUUUAAGAUCUUCUGUUCCAUUAUUACAGGUUGUUCCAUUUGCCUGAAUGGGACUUUAUCCUCACUUGCAAAUUCAGAGUCCCAGGUCAAUAGAAAAUUUUCUUCUCUUAGUUUAUAAGUUCAAAAUAGACUUUUUUUUUUUUUAGCUGAAAAGCAUGGAUCUAAGCUUACACCUUCGUUCUAUAGAAUGAGCUUAAAACAAACAAAAACCCCAGCCCAAAAUUACCUAUAGCAGAGCUGGGACUAGAAUUCAUGUCUCCCAGUUUCCCAUCUGACCCUCAUUUGAUCAGCACUGCCUCCCUGCCUGAGGGUAGACAUUACCCAGUCUGGCUCCACAUUUCCCAAAGUUUUAAGAUAAUAGUAACCAGAGCACAUGGGCUCCAACCAGCCAAUCUUGGAAAAUUUUAAAAGUGGUCUCUCACUAACAUUGGUUUUAUAAAACAUACAUGUUUUCUCAGAAAACAGUUUCCUGUAUGCUAGCUGUCACAGAAUCAGUCUUCAUUCGUGGUCCAGCCCCUUUCCUGCCUCCUCUUCUUUACACCUACCCUCCUUAGCUUUACAUAUAUUGACAAUGAGGAAGAAGAAAAAUCCAGUUCAAGCUAAAUAGACUCACUUGGAAAGUCCUGCAUCACAUAGGGAAAGAUCUACACUUUUCUUACCAGAUGUUUCUAUCUCAUAAACCAGUUGGGGUCAAGUUGCUUUAUUUUUUAAACAUAGUGUGUAGAUGUCCAGUGACAUCCCCAAGACCCAGUUGGACUUCAUGAUGCAUCAGUCACGUGUUAAACAUGGCAUGGGAAAGGCUGUAUUUUGUAAUGACAUGCCUGCCUUGACGAGAGAACUUUUCCUGGCCGAGGUAACCAGCACCAGACCACAUGCUGAAAUCAUGUUAAUAAAUUAAGGGCAGAGUUGGAAAGCUAUUAAUACCUAGCAGGCACUUAAAGGCCUAGUUAUCUAUUAACAUUCUUCUCAACUUAAUACACUGAAGUAUUUCACAAAAAAAAAGCAACCCCAACAUUUAGCUUAGUAAAAGAAAAUUAAAAAAAAUUUUUUUACAUUUAUUCAUUUUUGAGAGACAGAGACAGAGCACAAGUGGGGGAGGGGCAGAGAGUGAGGGAGACACAGAAUCCAAAGCAGGCUCCAGGCUCUGAGCUGUCCGCACAGAACCCGACUCGGGGCUCAAACCCACAAACUGCGAGAUCAUGACCUGAGCUGAAGUUGGACACUUAACCGACUGAGCCACCCAGGUGCCCCAGUAAAAGAAAAUUUAAAAAGAAGAAAGAAAACUGGGUUUGGGAAUGGAUAAAAAUGCAACCCCUUUCCAGGAUAGAAAGCUGGUAUCUGAAGCACCAGCUGUUUUUAUCUCAGAAUGUAAAGGGUGAAAACAACUUCCUCAGCUCAUGAGAUCCCAAAGAGCUAUAAUUCUCUCUCCUGUUUUUCUGAAUGUCCAGCUUCCAAAGAGCCUGAGUUCCUAAAAGUGCCACUGAUUGAGUAUCAGUUUAGGAAACCUCAGGGAUACGCCUCCAAUAGAGGGUGAGAAUAACAAAUGCUCUCCUGAGGAUGCUUUUUUUUUGUCUUCCUCUGUAUCCAUCAAAGCCAAUGGUUUCCACUUCCCUUUAUGGACUUGCCUGGUGGUGCUUCUGUGAGUUAGGGUGGGUUCUUGGGAUUCCACAUAGAAGGGGGCCACAUCAUGCCGUGUAACACUUGGCACCUUUAGAGUUUUGUUUCCUUCUCAGUCCCAUGGAUGCCCCUGAGGCCCUGGCAUUGCCUGGUCCAUGUGAAAACUGCUCAGGAUGUUCCCAGUAACAGUGGCGGCAAAGAAGAAAGACUAUACAGUCCUUCAGCACAGGACGAGGUAGGACGAUGAUAGUGUCUGAGAUUCUCACAGCAUUGGAAUAAUACUGGCAGCUGCUGUUCCCUAGUACUAUUUUCCAGGUGCCUUUAUACACAUGACCACAUGUAGUCCUCCUAACAAUCUUAGAUUAUUUAUUUGUACUAAGCAGCUAAUUUCAGAAAAAAUUUAAGGCAGCUAAGAACCCUCUUAAGUUGAUACAGAUGUCUCCAUUUUAAGAUGAAGACACUGAGACUUAGAGAGUUCUAGUAAAUUGCCAGAGGCCAUAUAGUUAGUUGUGACAGAGCCAAUAUUCAAACCCAGCCCCAGGGUCUCUCCCACAAGUAACCCCACACACAUCAUCCCAGGGCAUGUUGUCCCUGACCCAGGAGACCUUGCUGGUGUACAUUUUUGUUACUUUCUGGCAUGUUACUUGGCCUAUUUUUUUUUCUGCAGGUGAUUUGUGCGGAGUCAGAAUGUCUGUAUUGUGGCUGCUGAUUCAUAUGCUUAUGCCUGGCAGGUCACAAACAAAGGGAAGAUUGUGUACCAAGAUGUGGACCCUGUGAUUAUGGGCAUUCAGCCAGAAUUCAAUCAGUCUUUGGUCAUUUAACUGUGAUUCUUUCCAGAAAGUUCCAAAGCAUAUUGUUACCGCACUUGUGAAACCUCUUUAUCUUGUGUGGCAUUUCCCAGCUGCUGCAGAGAUAUAACACAGACCAGAAAGCAUAUUUUCUCCUAAAAAUUUCAUUCUGCCUUUCUUUCUCUUACUGCUACCUGGAAAUGUGUCCUCUCAGCCCACAACAGAUCCAUAACUGUGCCUGCUGCCCGUAAGUAUUCCUGGAAUGUUUCUGGUUUUCCUAAAGGGAAACCACUAAGGAAUGCCCCAGAUUCCAAAUUUGACAUUCAAACCUUGGAAAGUUCAAAUCCUUGUCCUUUAACAUUUUUAAAUUUGAACUUUAUUUCUCUCAGCUCCUGUCCCAUAUUCCACCUACCCUAGUCUCUGCCUCUGUUAAGUUUUCUCUCACUACAUACAGAGAACCAGCUUACCACUGAAUUGGAGAACUGUCCGCUUUUUUUCUGGGCUCUUCUGUACUUUUCGCCAGGUUCCAAGGUGAAGCUGCAAUCAUUCCUUUUGUGCAUUUCUGAUAGAGCCUCUAAAGAGGGAAAUAGUCAUAGGCCAAUGUUUGUAUUACAUUGGCCAGGGUAGGAACCCAGCUAGACAUCCUUGGCCCCUUUACCUAAGAACAGAAACUGAAGAUUUGUUUACAAAUGAAUACCACAGAAUCACAUCUCACUUGGUGUCAGCUUCCACGUGAAAAUCAAAAAUGAUCAAAAUUAACCAUAACAUCGUAACAUACUGCACCACUAUGCCAAGAUAAACAAAGAUAAAAAGGAUUAAAUUUUAAAUAUCAGAGACAAAAUCCAAAGAGUAAAAGAGGAAAUCAUGGGAGAAUUCCUUGACAGUAUUUCUAACUAUGAUUCAUACUCUAAAUUCCAUAAAAGAAAAGAUUAAUAAAUUCAAUUACAUACAAUAACACACUUCUGCAUAAAGAAAAAUAUAAGCAAAGUUCAAAGACAAGCACCAAUUGGAAAAAUAUUUUCAAACCACAACACAGACAAGAUAAUUUCCUAAAUAUUUAAUGUUUUCCCAGAAAUCAUGAAGAAAAAGCCAAUACAGGGCUGCCUGUGUGGCUCAGUCAGUUAAGCGUCAAAUUUUGGCUCAGGUCAUGAUCUCACGAGUUUGAGAUCAUGAGUCCAAGCCCUGAGUUGGGCUCUGUGCUGACAGCUUUGAGCCUGGAGACUGCUUCAGAUUCUGUGUCUCCCUCUCUCUCUGUCCCUCCCCUGCUCAUGCUCCAUCUCUCUCUCUCUUUCAAAAAUAAAUAAACAUUAAAAAAAUUUUAAAAAGAAAAAGAGCCAAUACAAAAGUGGACAAAGGAUGCAAGCAGACAGAUCACAGGAAUAAAAUAUAAAUGGCCCUUUUGUAUAUGAAGAGAUGCUAGGUUUUACUACAAACAGAAGAAAUUCAAAUUAAAAGCUACAAUGAAAUGAAUACCAUUUUAACCUAUCAGAUUGGCAAAAAUAGUUUGACAACAUAUCCAGUUGCAAGCUACGGGAAAAAAACAGGUAGUCUCUUACUUUGCUGAUAGAAAUGUAGACUGGAACAAUCUAAGGAAGGAAAUUUAGCAAUAUUUAUUAAAAUUCCAAAUGCUUAUGCCCUUUGACCCAGCAGCCCCAUUGUGGGAAUUUAUCCUGCAGCAUAGCUUGAACACAUUCAAAAUAAUAUAUUUUCAAGGUUGUUAAUUGCAGCAUUGUUUGUAAUAGCAUAUAAUAUUAGAAAUAAUUCAUGUCCAUCCAUCUAUAGAGUGAAAUUUUGUGUAGUUGUAUAUAUUAAAAAAAAAAGGAAUGAAGACAUUCUCUAUAUGCAGAUAUAGAAAGACCUCCAAUUUGUACUGGUAAGUGAAAGGAAAAUGCAGAAAAAUGUUUGUACAAAGGAGGGUCACAGAAAUAUUCAUAUUUGAUUAUAUUUGCAUAUAAAAACUCUGGAAGAACACACAACCUAACAAUGGCAGUCACCUUUGAUAGUGGUAGGUAGAAACUAGACGGAGGGACAGGGAUAGAAGCAAGAUUCUUUAUCAAAUACAUUUUUUUGUUUCCUUUUUAAAUCAUUUGAAUGUGUUUUCUACUUUUGAAAAAUAAAAAAUUUUAAAAACAUUGCAAAAUACCUUAAAUUGUCCAUAAAGUACAGAACAUGAGGUUUCAUACAUAUGAUCCUAUUCCAUAAUGUUUAUGCAGACUAAGGUUUGAGAACAACUUGACUAAAAUAAGGAACAAAGUUUAAGUUGCUAUGGAGGUGUUAAGUAUUGAAAUCAUUCUCCUUUAACAUGCCUGCCAAACUCCUGGCUGGGAGUGGGUGAGAAUUCUAAAAAGCACCUGCUUGCCUGGAGGGAUUAGACUAAUCUAAUACUAAGCCUCCAGAACAAACCUGUUUGUUGUGAGAAUUAAAGGAAAUGAAGGAGUUCCCAUUUCAAUGCAGGUUGAAGUUUAUGGGUAAGUUAAAUAUGCAGAUGAUGGGACUCCAUGAUAUGGUGGUGAUAUUUUCUAAACUGUGCCAGGCCAGGGUACAUGAUCUGAAAAGUGCAGCUGUACCCAUUGAGACACUAGGAGGUCCUGUCUAACAUCUGUGCUGUCCUAGGGAAUUCUAGGAGUGAUGGUUAACAUCAUGUAUGGUUUUCAGAGUGAGGGAUGUGGAGGUGACCAAAGUCAGAAAUCUUGAAUUACACUACAUUGGUAAUGCCUUUUAUUUAUCUCCCAAGAUGCAGUAUAACACAAAUAACUCAUUGGGCCUACAAAAAAAGGAAAAAAAAACUGAGAAGAAAGAAACAUUGAGAAUGCAUUCCAAUCCACUUAUCACAUCAUUGAAAGGAAAGUGCACUUUGGAGGACAGGAACAUUUUUACAUGGAAACUCAAAGUGAAAGUGAAGUGGCAAAGGCAGAGGAUUAAAACAUGGACCUAUAUGUGUCAUGCCAGGAUGCAGCAUUUACACAGGUGGCCAGCCAUGAAUUAAAGAUACCAGUAUCUUCCAUAUACCUUGGAAUGAUGAAUACCAUGACAGUGCCCAGCACAAUUCCCAUGGCAGCCUCUACUAGUGCAGAUGCCAAUGGAAAAGCUGUGCAGUCGCUAAGCUCCUGCAUGGAUUAGUCACGGGGCCAGGCAGGAGCAGUGAACAAGAGUUCCCACUCAGUGCCUUCGCAGUGGUCUGCCAAGGGAGAGGGACCCCUUCAGAUGCUUUUCUAAAUCAGUUCUAUUGGACAGCCCUGCUCUGGACAAUCCUACUGCAUCUUGACCUGAGAAAAAAAGUGUCAGCAGAAACCCUUUAGCUACUAGGCAUGCUCAAACCUGACCUGGUUCAACAAUGAUCCAUCUUAAGAUGCAGGUGAAAAAACUUCAUACAGUUCUUGAUGCAUAAAGGUAUGUGGCAAUCAAUCAGUAAUUGUAUUGCAGUAGUUUUUGUGAUUUAAACUGCUAAACUCAUUCUUCAAGAUCUAAGGCAAAAGAGGGGAGCAGAAAGCAGGCUGAGAUGUAUAAAGCAUUCAUGUAUUUAUUGAACAAAGUUUUAGGGAGCAACUAAAAGUUGUGGCCAGGCAUUUAAGAAAUGGUGAAAUUAAGUCCCAGAUCCCACCUUGUGAAGCUUAUAAUUGAAUUGAAUUAUAUAUGGUCUUAUGAAAGCAACACAAGUUAAAAAGAUGCAGCCCAGAUGUAGUUCUGUAGAAGGUGAGGAGAAGAUGAUAUCCCAGUUAAUGGUAAGAUCUAAACAAAGGGGCACAAAAGAAAAGCAAUCCCAGGUGGAUGAAAAUGCAGAAGCUAAGGAUGGAGGUCAGAAGAGAUCCAGAUAUUUAUCAGAACAUAGAUAAUUUUGUUUGGCUGGAGGUAGACAAGGGGAGAAAUCUGGAUAGAAAACUGGAAAACUAGCCUGGAUCAGAUCAUAGAUACUCUUAAAUAUAAGUUAACAAGUUCAAGUUUUAUUCUGUCCACAGUGAAGACUUCUGAUGGUUUUUAUCAAAGAAAUUACAUAAUCAGGGAGAUUUACUCUGGUGGAAGGUAUAGCAUGAAUUAACAUGAGAGAUAACAGUUGGAAAGCUACUGAUGGAGUCCAGAGCAGGCUGCCCCAAAAUGUGCCACUCUGACCCUUCUCUGUACACCUCAAAGCAGGAAAUAAAUUUUUCUUAUGAAGGGUGCACUUUCUACACCUGGAGAGUAGAAGGCAUCUUUAUCACCAGAGAGAGAGAAUUCAGGACUGAGAAAACUGUAUAAACAAACCUUGUUACUUCUUCAUUAAUUUGCUACCCCAAGUCCAAACUUUUGUCUUGUUAACUCUUCAUAAAUUUCUUCUAAAAGGUAUAAAAAGCUGCUGACUUUGGUCACUUCUUUGAAUCCAAUAUUUCUAUGAGCUCCCAUACAUGCAAAAUUAAAAUCUUUUUCUCCUGUUAAUCUGUCUUGUUUAAUUAUUUGACCAGCCAAAGAACCUAGCAGGAAAAAAAGGGAAGUUUUCCUCCCCUACACUGCUGUAAUAGUCCAGAGGUGACAAAGGCUUGAGCACCCACAGUGCUGGCAGGAAUAGAAAGAGAUUCAAGCAACAGCCCCUGCCCUCUGACAGGAUGGGGUAGACACGGCAGAAGUCAAAGGUAAGUCUAAGUUUGUACUCAGGUGACUGGGGGAAAGUGGUAACCUUACCAGAAACAGCAACACAGGAGGAGGAGCCUGCUUUCAAAGGAAAGGUGAAUUUGAUUUUAGAUUUAUAGCCUGGUUGUCAGCCAAGGGAUUUACCCAACAGACAGUUAAUUCAGGAUUGGCAAGAGGUCUGGGCUGCAGACAGAUUUAGGAGUCAUGCGUGUAAUUAGUAAUCAGAGCCAUGAGACUGGAUAAAACUCACCAGAGUGUGAAACUGCAGAGAGGGAAUUAAAAGGAAAAUGUAGAAGGGGAGGAGAGAGAUGGAAAGAGAAGAAAAUAAGAAGGAAGGAGAAAGGAAGGAAUGAGUCAAGGACAGCUCAGGGAAGGAGUAGGGGCUGAGGGUAGGAGUAGGGGCAGGAAGCACUAACCGCCUUGAAACUAAGGGUGGAAUGAUGCGGCUCUGUGCACACAGUCAUAGCAGGAGCACCCCCUCAGACACAGCCCAGCUUGCCAGAGGGAAGCGGUUACCAUUAGCAAGAUUCUAAAGGCCCUGAGAUGUCCCUUACUUUAUGCCCCCCCACCCCACUCCCAUACACACCUACUUUAAAACCCUUUCCUCUAUUGGCCUGAAACCACACAAUCAUAUUAACCCUGGCUUGGAUGAAGACGCUCCAAAGCCUCUUGUUUAUGUGCCCCCAAAUCUAGGGGUGCUCAGUGGCCAGAUGGAGCCUGGAGCCCUCUUGGCUCUCCCUGUCCCUUGCUCUUACCACACCCGUAAGGCUACCACAAUGGCAACUGACCAUUCUGACCCAGGUUCUCCUGGUGCCCAAACACCCCACCUCACCCAUCAGUCGGAGCCCGCCAAGGCGGGGCGCCUAGUGCCCACGCGGGAUCAAUGCGUUCCCAGAAACAUUUCUGCUCAGUUCAGCUGACACUUGUCGCUGCCACGAGGAUCCACGAACAGUCUGCUCUUUCGGAGAAAGUCCAAGGGAAUGCAGUCCGUCCCUCCCACCACACCAGCUUGGGGAGGAGGAUCCUUGAGGCUAGGACACCGACCCCAUGUGGGGAGGGGAGGCAAUCAAGCAUGUGGAGGCCCAUGUGCACCCACAUGCACAGGUGCCCUACGCAGAAACCAUGGCUGUUGGGCACACACGGCCAGCGCCAUUGACCUGACCGGGUGGCACCGCCUCCCCUACUUGCUAUGCCAGCUCUGGGCCAAGCAGUGGCCCGCUCUCAGGGACCAGACUGGGUGGUGGUGAGGCCCAGUGGCGGCCACUCCUCGGAGCUGCCCCCAGGACAUCCUUGUGAAGAGCACCCCUGACCUGUCUUUGAGGUCUGUCACCGCAAGGAGAAAAGGGUGGCAUUUAUCCUUGUGCAAAGAGAGUUUAAGUUAAAUAUGUUCAGGCCAUUCGGACUGUUUUCUGCAGUACAUUCAGUAUCUCUUGGGAAGCAUUUUGGUAGGCAACAGAAACUGAAAAUUGUACAUGACAGGAGCCAAAGGAAUACAUUGCAUAAAGAAAAGUGCCUCAAAUAGCUUCAGAUGUUUCUUGAACCCCUUUGUUGAACUUUCAGAAACUCAGAGUAAAUAUUAUGCAAUUCAUUUGUGUUUUAAUGAUGCAAAUGCCAACGAAUGUAUAUUCUGCUUUCAGGAAAUGGAUUUUUCUUCAUCUAGUGCCUGCUCAAUGCAGGUAAAAGGAGUUUAAUUGAAACAGAUACCCGGUUUCCCAAGUGUAGGAAAGGUGUAUCUCCUUCCUUGAGACUGAGCAAGGAGAAAACCUUGGCAGUGUUCAUUUGAGGAUCUUCUCACCAGCAGCCUGGCCUCCCUGAGAAUACUGGACAAAGUAUUUCACUAUUGCAGAAGGGCUGUCCUAAUUUCCGGUGUAUUCAUUUGGUAUGCUCUGUACAGAACAAGGUGGUGGGCUGGACCUAGGAAAUCAAUAAAGAAGAACCUGGAAGGAAUAGCCUGAAGAGCUGGAGCUGCCCAGGAAGAAUGCAGGUGCCCUCACCACUGCAGUCAUGGAGUGCGGUCCUGCAGAGAGAAUGAAGCUACCAAAGAGAACACAGAUACAGGAUGCUCAAAUUAAACAAAACCACAGCAUCAAGAAAUCUUUUUCAUUAGAAAGUUAAAGAGACAUCGAGAAAGCUGCAAAGCAAAUUGGAGAGAUGCCAAGACUUCAGUAGAAAUCACUGAUACAGAUUUCAUACUUAAUGACUUUUCUUUGAGCAAGUGCAAAAGCAAAAAGCAAAAGAACUGUGGUGAACACUGUGAGCCGUUAAGUAUAGUAGGAUGUAUGGUAGGACUCAUAGCAGGACAAAAACAACAUAGGUCAUACAGAAGAGGGUCUGGAAAAAAUACAGAUUAUUCUCAGCCACACUGCAUAGGCUUAUCAUUAGAAGGAAGAACAAGAAAUCAAUAGCAGACCCACUCUAAAAUCUUAACUAUAAAGAUCUUAUUAUAGUAUGGAUUUAGUCAUUCAUUAAAAAAAAAAUCUUUAUAAUGUCAUAACUGAACAAGGCGUGGUGCUAGACAUGGGAGACAUAUAGUUAACAAGACAAAUAUAGACCCUGCCCACAUGGAGUUUAUGAUCCAAUGGAAGAGUUGACAUUAAGUAAACACACAAAUGUCAUCUCAAUCUUUGAUAAGUGCUCCAAAGGAAUACAAAGUGGUCAGUGAAGAUAUUGAGGGCUUUUAGAUUUGAGGGUCAGACAGCUUUCUGAGAGAGCAACAGUAAUGACAUUCCUUAAAGGAUAAGGAGGCAUUACUGGGGAAAGAACAGCAGCUGAUGGUGCUGGGGAAUAGCACACUUGAAGGCUCUGGGGUGGAAAAUGAGGGGUGUGGUCCAAGAGCUGGGAUGUCUUUGCAAGGAGCAUCGUCAGUGGGAUGGAGAGUCUACAUGGGGCAAGGCCAGACCCCCAGACUGUGUGGGCCAUAUUAGCAUCUUGUUUUUUUCCCCCAAAUACAGGGCAAGUCACUGAAGGGCUUUAGGUACACACAAUUGACAUUGAUGUGUUUAUGUUUAUGUUUUAAUGGGUCAAUCCAGUUGCAUUGUGGAACACAAGUUUGAGGGACUUGAAUGGAAAAGGGAAGUCCAUUUGGGAAGUGUUUGACCUGGUCAUUAGAGUAAAGGCUGUGGUGGGCACAACCAAAUAUAAAGAGUCCUGUAUCAGGCCCUAGAAGUCUCAUAUCUCUCUAGGUGCUCUGUAUGCUACAAAGUGGCCCCCAAAUCAUAGGAGUCCAUAUGAAGUAGAAAUCCUCAAGCAGUAAAACUUUUAUUUGGAUUAAAUUUAGCCAAAUGAAAAGAUGUCAAGAAUAACAGAAGUUUGUGAAAAGAAUG